UUCUUAGUUCAGUUGGUAGAGCAUGGGACUCUUAAUCCCAGGUUCGUGGGUUCAUGUCUCAUGUUGGGCAAAA